AGAAAAAUAUCCCUGUCAUGUUAUUAUUAUUAGAAAUGUUCUGACAAAUGAAUAGAGCUUUUUUUUUUUUGGAAGUAUCUCCUGCAUGGCAUUUCUAUGACAGCAACCAUACAGCUGCAGAGACGAUACAAUGCACAGCAAAUCCUCGGAGCUCACCAGCUGAGCAGUUUGGAUUAGAGUCGCCUGCACAAAUCCAAGGUAUGAAGAAGAAACAACACGCACUCCUAUUGCUCCACAAAGCAAACAACAAAUCACAAACAAACAAUAUGAGCAAGCAUCUGAUCAGUAAUGAAACAGC